UCCGGCCCUCAUGGCUUUGUGUCUGGAGCUC
rnacentral:piRNA from 1 species